rnacentral:misc_RNA from 1 species
GUUUGAUUGGACUAUCUUGAAAUAUCAGCAGACGCAGAGGUCAAAGUCCCAGCUAGAACUACCUAGUCUGCAUCCACUUUCUGUAACGACAGGUUCUGGAGCAUUGCCAAAAGUUUUAAAUAAGCAAGGAGGUAAUAAUGCUACACUUUUAGCUGAAGCUACAAAACAGAAGGUAUCAAGUAAUUUUGUACGUGGUGAUGGAUCAGCAGCUAAUCUGAAAUCUGAUUACCGAACUGGAAAAAAUGUAACAUUCAAUACUUCUGGUCCUUCUACGUCGUUGGCUGAUGCUUUCAAGAGAAGCUUCCCGAAAAACGAAGAUUCAAUUGAUGUUGGAAAUGUAGGUCAUGCACACAGUGGAAAAACUGGUGCUUCAAGCAGCAAGCUGCAUUUCUUAAGCAGGAUUUCUUCCAAGUGAACUGGAGGAUUUUAUGUGGGAGAAUUGCAGAAGUGAAGGUCUACUUUGUGAUGUUGAAUUCACUUAAACCCUGUGUACCAGUAAGGCAUCCAUCUCGAGGUGACCAUGAAGUAUAAAGCAAUGAAUGUUACUAAAAGAUGACCUAUGAAAACUUGGUCGCCAUUUUAAGUUUUCUCCGUCUUGAAUUAUAGGACAGUGACUAAGCCAGCUACAGUUCACAAUUAAGCUAUGUGUAAAGUGUUCUUUUCAUUCCUUUUUCUAAUAGAGCAUAAAAGUGACAUUCAAAUGUUAGAUUGUCUUAUUCGACUCUUAUCUGUAUUUUAUUUCUUCAAUUCCUUUGCACAAAGCCUGGAGAAGUUUUAAUAGGUGCUCAAGUUUCUGAAAGCUCAAAUCUGGUAUAGAGCAUUUCAGACAUUUUAUGUCAUGAACUUGAUGAUGAAGCCUGCCUUUGGUGUUGAAGUUCCAAUGGGGCACCAUCAUGGCUCUUAUAACUAAUCAACCUUGCAUUUGUUUAUAAUCCUAUACUUGCUGCGGAGAUGAUGGAAUUCUAUAACCUGGACUCAGAGGUACUAUGUGAUUAGAGUCAUAGCUUUUAUGCUCCUCUUUUUAUUUUGUCUAA